GAUGUGCACUGUGAAGAACCAUAGCUAGCUCUCAGUCAUUGGAUAACACAGAAAGAAAUUCGUUGGAAUAGAAAGUCUCGGAGACCAUUAUCCUGUGACAGCCCUCGGUCUCUUCGACAGCUCUCAAAAACAUGCCGGCUCGUAACCAGAUUACUGUCCAGAUCGAAGCUGAGUUGCACUGACAGAAAGACUAGUUGGCUGGUGUCCUUUGAAGCAC